rnacentral:piRNA from 1 species
UGAUACUGCCCUUUCCUAAACUGCAAGA